rnacentral:rRNA from 1 species
ACCGGUGGUUAUGGCGGAGCGGCUGCACCCGAUCCCAUUCCGAACUCGGCCGUGAAACGCUCCAGCGCCAAUGGUACUUUGUCUCAAGACACGGGAGAGUAGGUCGCUGCCGGUC